rnacentral:tRNA from 1 species
GCGUUGGUGGUUCAGUGGUAGAAUUCUCACCUUCCAUGAAGAGAUCUGGGUUCGAUUCUCGGCCAAUACA